CAAGUCGAGCGAGAAAAGGGGAGCAAUCCCCUGAGUACAGCGGCGCACGGGUGAGUAACACGUGGGUAAUCUGCCCUGGAGUGGGGAAUAACACCGGGAAACCGGUGCUAAUACCGCAUACGAUCACGAGGUCUGCGGACUUUGUGAUGAAAGGAGCAAUUCGCUCUAGGAGGAGCCCGCGGCUGAUUAGCUAGUUGGUGAGGUAACGGCUCACCAAGGCAACGAUCAGUAUCCGGUCUGAGAGGACGGUCGGACACACUGGAACUGAGACACGGUCCAGACUCCUACGGGAGGCAGCAGUGGGGAAUUUUUGGCAAUGGGGGCAACCCUGACCAAGCAACGCCGCGUGGGUGAUGAAGUCUCUUGGGACGUAAAACCCUUUCGACGGGGAAGAAAACCGCAAGGUUUGACGGUACCCGUAGAAGAAGCCCCGGCUAACUCCGUGCCAGCAGCCGCGGUAAUACGGGGGGGGCAAGCGUUGUUCGGAAUUACUGGGCGUAAAGGGCGCGUAGGCGGUUCGCUAAGUUGGAUGUGAAAACUCUGGGCUCAACCCAGAGCCUGCAUCCAAAACUGGCGGGCUAGAGUUCUGGAGGGGGUAGCGGAAUUCCUGGUGUAGCGGUGAAAUGCGUAGAUAUCAGGAGGAACACCGGUGGCGAAGGCGGCUACCUGGACAGAAACUGACGCUGAGGCGCGAAAGCUAGGGGAGCAAACAGGAUUAGAUACCCUGGUAGUCCUAGCCCUAAACGAUGGAUACUUGGUGUGACUGGGAUUGAAUCCAGUCGUGCCGAAGCUAACGCAUUAA
rnacentral:rRNA from 1 species